AUUGAACGCUGGCGGCAGGCCUAACACAUGCAAGUCGAGCGGUAACACAGAGGAGCUUGCUCCUUGGGUGACGAGCGGCGGACGGGUGAGUAAUGCCUGGGGAUCUGCCCGAUAGAGGGGGAUAACUACGGGAAACUGUAGCUAAUACCGCAUAACGUCUACGGACCAAAGUGGGGGCUCUUCGGACCUCAUGCUAUCGGAUGAACCCAGGUGGGAUUAGCUAGUUGGUGAGGUAAUGGCUCACCAAGGCGACGAUCUCUAACUGGUUUGAGGGAAUGACCAGUCACACUGGUACUGAGACACGGUCCAGACUCCUACGGGAGGCAGCAGUGGGGAAUAUUGCACAAUGGGCGCAAGCCUGAUGCAGCCAUGCCGCGUGUGUGAAGAAGGCCUUCGGGUUGUAAAGCACUUUCAGCGAGGAGGAAGGGUUACUAGCUAAUACCUAGUGACAUUGACGUUACUCGCAGAAGAAGCACCGGCUAACUCCGUGCCAGCCGCCGCCGUAA
rnacentral:rRNA from 1 species